rnacentral:misc_RNA from 1 species
UCAAACUUGGUCAUUUAGAGGAAGUAAAAGUCGUAACAAGGUUUCCGUAGGUGAACCUGCGGAAGGAUCAUUAUUGAAUAAACCUGAUAAGUUGUAGCUGACUCUUCGGAGUAUGUGCACGCUUGUCAUCUUUAUCUAUCCACCUGUGCACAAUCUGUAGUCUUGAGAGAGAUGAGAGCAGUCAACUCUGUAAUUAAGAGCUUUGGCUUGUGACUUACUCUUGAGUCUAUGUAAUUUUCAUACACUACGUAGCAAGUUGCAGAAUGUAUUCAUUGGGCCUAUGUGCCUAUAAAACUUUAUACAACUUUCAGCAACGGAUCUCUUGGCUCUCGCAUCGAUGAAGAACGCAGC